AGAGUUUGAUCCUGGCUCAGGAUAAACGCUGGCGGCGUGCCUUAUGCAUGCAAGUUGUACGAGGUCUAGGGCUUCGGCUCUAGAGCAGUAGCGGACGGGUGAGUAACACGUACGUAACCUGUCCGAAAGUGGGGAAUAACCCCGCGAAAGCGGGGCUAAUACCGCAUAUGGUCGCCGGUGAAACACCGGUGGACAAAAGCCUUACGGCGCUUUCGGAGGGGCGUGCGGCCGAUUAGCUAGUUGGUGUGGUAAUGGCGCACCAAGGCGACAAUCGGUAGCUGGUCUGAGAGGACGGCCAGCCACACGGGGACUGAGACACGGCCCCGACUCCUACGGGAGGCAGCAGCAAGGAAUUUUGCGCAAUGGGCGAAAGCCUGACGCAGCAACGCCGCGUGGGGGAUGAAGGCCCUCGGGUCGUAAACCCCUUUUGUAAGGGAAGUAACUGACGGUACCUUACGAAUAAGCCACGGCUAACUACGUGCCAGCAGCCGCGGUAAUACGUAGGUGGCAAGCGUUGUCCGGAUUUACUGGGCGUAAAGGGCGCGCAGGUGGCUCAUCAAGUCUGGGGUGAAAUCUCCCGGCUCAACCGGGAGGGGUCUCUGGAUACUGAUGGGCUAGAGGGAAGCAGAGGAGAGCGGAAUUCCCGGUGUAGCGGUGAUAUGCGUAGAUAUCGGGAGGGACACCAGUGGCGAAGGCGGC
rnacentral:rRNA from 1 species